GUAUUUCGUUUCGGUGACCUAGUUGAUCGGUGCUUUUAUCUUAUAUCCGUUGACCUGGUUGGUCGGUUGUUGCAUUAUGUAUUGGGUUGGUCUGUUUCUUGACUUCUGUUGUUCGAUGACCUUUGAGGUCGGUGUACCCUGAGGGGUAGGAUUGUCGGCUGGUGCUGACGGUAGUUCUGAACUAUAUCGAAUACACUCCUGUGACCUAUCGGUCGGUUCUUGCGUUCGUACUUUUAGUUGACAUCGAGCAGUAUCUACAUAUUAUCUUUAUUUACUCUACCUGGUUGUUCUAUGUGUAGUAUCCUGUAU
rnacentral:lncRNA from 1 species